AAAACAUUUUUAUAGAGUUUUCUUUUACUAAGCCUCAACUAUAUUUCUAAAUGAUCAGCUGAAGUUUUACUUCAGUGCUAGAAAUGUGGGGACUGAAACAAAAUUAAGAUAAAGCAUGGGAUUUGGUUUAAAGCCGUCUAACUGGAAGCUGGGCCUCACAGAAUAUUGAAAGGAAAAAUAUCCCUUGCUUAAUUGUCUCUCAAUUAUAUAACUUUUCUGUCUUCAGAAACAAGUUGCCACUCAUGUAAAGGCUCUGAAGGAAAGGAGAGAGAAGCUGAAGGAGUCAAAAGAAGAUUUGGAGUGCAGAAGCCAAGCUGAUCAGGAUGAUGUUCAAACUGAGAAGCAAAAGGUGGAAGUUGAAUUUAACCAAAUCCACGAGUUUCUGGAAAAAAUCGAGCGCUUUCUGAUUAUCAUGUUGAAGAAAUUUGACAAGGAGAUUGUUCAGAAGAGAGACGGAGUCGCCACCAGACUGUCUGAGGAAAUUGAUCGCCUGGAUGCCUUAAUCACUGAAGUAGAGGAAAAGUGUCAACAGCCUGCAAGUGAAUUCCUGCAGGUGAGAUUGACACAGCGCUCCCUGGUUUUUGGUGCAUCAUGCAUGGAAGUCUAUAUGGAAACCCAAUGUGGAGUAGUGGUUAGAAUGUUCUAUUGUGGCUUAGGAGUUCCAGGUUCAAGCCUACACUAAGAUGCAAAGUGCAUCAUCAUCAUCCCUCAUUUGUGUGCCUUUUUUUCUAGGAUAAACCAUGCUCAAAGCAUCUCACAACCCUAGGGCUCUGUAAGAAGUUGCUAGUGGUUAUAUGAGAGAUUGUGACUUGGGGGGGAGGCAUUUCUUUUGAGCUGUAGAUAUAAUAUGUUUUAUACAAGGGUUUCCUGAGACUGGAAAAUUAUGUCCAGGGUUACUUUAGGGUAAAAGGGUUGAAAGGGGCUGCAGGCAACUGUCUCUCUCAAAUCAUAUGCAUACUAUUUGUGCAAUAAAAUUAAACAAUUCACUUAGGACUCAUAUGAGGGCCUAACAACAUAUAUGUAGAAACACAAUCUAGAUAGCAGCAAAAAUCAAACUUCUUUAUCCAAGACUAAAUGUUGUCUUGUGCAGCAACCCAUGAUUUCUGAUGCCUCCAGCACGAAGUAGUAGUAGUAGUAGUAGUAGUAGUAGUAGUAAUAAUAUAUUUAUAUCCUGCCUCUCUGUGGAACACAACUGGUAAGGACUGAAUUCCUUUGCUCAUCAUACACUGGGCCCCCUUGGGUCAGUCAUUUUCUUUUAGCCUGGUCUAUUUUAUAAGGUUGUUGAGCAAGAGCCAUGCAUGCCUUUAGCUCACUGGAAGAAAGGGUUACUAUAGAUAGAGAUACUACAAAAAAGUAUCUAAACACAUAGACUGUUACAGUGCCUUGUUUAGAUUGCCACCUGCCCUGAUCCUAUAGGUACAUACCAUACAUACUCUACUGUUGAGGGUAGAUUUUGGGGCCAAAAUUAUGGAUUUUGCCAUGACCCAUGAAUAGGUCGAGGGUAAAACUUGGAGCCUCCUUCAGUUUGUAUGCUUACAGCAAGAAAGUCCAACGCUGAUUUCAACUGGUCAGCGGAGGCACAAGAGAGUCUGUUUGUUUAUUUAAAAGGAAUUAAUCACUCAAGAUUCUUUCUGUUUGGUGCAAGAGAAAAAUAAACUAUAUUGGAUCUCUGU